GCCCAGGCUGGUCUGGAACUCCUGGGUUCAACUGGUCCUCCCACCUCUGCCUUUCAAAGUACUGAGAUUACAGAUGUGAGCCACUGUGGCUGGCUAAGCAUCUGUAAAUUUCAAGACCGGUGAUUCCACUGUACAGCUCAGAUUGAGAGGAAGAGCUGGAGGAACUGGAUACUCUGUGGCUGUCAGACAGCAUGCUGUAAAAAAGUCAGAGAGCCACACCGAGAACCCACAUAUAGGUGUUUGAGCAGACAGCCUGGGAGAGGUCCCAGCAGGUGGCCAGCGCCAACUUGCCAGCUGCGUGAGUGAGCUAUCUUGGGAGUGGAGCGUCCAGCUUCGGGUCAAGCUGCCCUCGUUGAUACCGCAUGGAGCCAAGAACAGAUUAUGUUCGAACGUGUGUGUGUGUUCCUGGAUGACAUGAUUCUAACUCAGAUUCCAUGUCAAAAUGGUUAUUUUAUCCAGAAGUCGUUUUUCAGUAACCUGGUAACAAGUUUAAAGGCAAGAGCAAAGGAAGGCAGCUUCAACACGAUCUCAAUGAGGCUACAAAGACUUACGUAACCUGAGAUUUCCCACGCCUGGAGCCUGCCGAGCCGCAGUUGUGUGGCACCUGGAGAAAAUCCCAAAGUUCUGAUAUUAUUUUGGUCACUCCCCACAGUCAUCUCUUUACCAUCAUGUGACUGAAUAAAAUGUGAAUGCAGAAGAGUUUCCUGGAUUUGUCAGCUGUGGCUCAUUUUCUGUUUCCCAAGAGUUUCAUUCGUCAUUAUUACUUAACAGGCUCUAUUUAGGUCUUCUACCACCUAGUUACACACUAAGUAUCUUAUAGUGGGGUUACUUGAAGACUGUGAGGCUUGCAAAGUAGUUACAUGAGUCUUACUCCAUGAACCUGACUUUAUGAUGACUUGGCUGUUUGG
rnacentral:lncRNA from 1 species